GACAGAGGUCCCGAGCGUUAGGCGGAAUCACUGGGCUUAAAGCGUGUGUAGGCGGAUUUGUAAGUACCUUGUGAAAUCCCACAGCUUAACUGUGGAACUGCUUGGUAUACUGCUUAUCUUGGGCCAUUUAGGGGCGAGCGGAACAAACGGUGGAGCGGUGAAAUGCGUAGAUAUCGUUUGGAACGCCAAUGGUGAAAACAGCUCGCUGGGAAUGUGCCGACGCUGAGACACGAAAGCCAGGGGAGCGAACGGG
rnacentral:rRNA from 1 species